CAGAAUUAAAUAACCUUCUUUUUGAAAACAGUGGCCAUACAGUUUGAAAACAGAAAUCUGCUUUAUUUUUGUUUGUAUUUUAUUUUGUGUCAUUUUAAUUUGUUUACUGUGAUGAGUUUACUUUUCAUGUUACUCCAUCUGUAUCUGUGCCCUCAUCUCCACAGAAACAGUCCUGCCCUCAGCCUAGGAGCUGGUCACUGUAAAGACCCCUGAGAGACUUGAGCUCCAACUCCCUGUCUGUUAGAAAUAAUAAACACACACAGCAGGACAGGAGACACAGUGAGAGAGAGGAGAUCACAGAGACUCCCUCAGUAAUAAACACACACAACAGGACAGGAGACACAGUGAGAGAGAGGAGAUCACAGAGACUCCCUCAGUAAUAAACACACAACAGGACAGGAGACACAGUGAGAGAGAGAGGAGAAGCAGAUGUUGACACUACAGCACUGUGAAGAGUGCAGGAUUCCUCCUGCUGUGUGUGUUUUCCCUACCUGUAACGUUGAGGCCAGUCAGACUCCCGAUGCGCAGCAGUCUGAUCCGCUCCAGGUGUGACCAGCCACCACCCCCCAGUGUGCCUCCCAUCCCCAGUCUGUGAGCUUCAGGCCCUGCAGGCAGUCUGGGGGCAGCGCCCUGCCUGCUGGGCUGUCCUGGUCAGGGAUGUGUAGUGUGCAAGCUCUCUUCUGGCCACAGCUGCACAGAGAACUCAGGUUCAGUCUGGGUUCAGCCUGGGUCCAGUGCAGGUUCAGGGUUCAGCCUGGGUCCAGUGUAGGUUCAGUCUGGGUCCAGUGCAGGUUCAGCCUGGGUUCAGUGCAGGUUCACUCUGGGUCCAGUGCAGGUUCAGCCUGGGUUCAGUGCAGGUUCAUUGUAGGUUCAGUGCAGGUUCAUUGUAGGCUCAGUGCAGGUUCAGCCUGGGUUCAGUGCUGGUUCAGUGCAGGUUCAGCCUGGGUUCAGUGCAGGUUCAGCCUGGGUUCAGUGC
rnacentral:lncRNA from 1 species